UCCCCCGCUUUUCCUCCCUGAGCGGGUGCCUUAUGUGUGACAGCAAAAAGGCUUGCCAACCCCGGCCGUCGGCCGGGGUUUUUUUUU
rnacentral:ncRNA from 1 species